GGUGUGGCCCCCUCCUGUGAAAUUGCAUUAUUGGUUAACUCACUGUUUACUUACACGAUUGUACAUUACUGAUGCUAUAUAUUGCCAAUGCUACACAUUGCCGGUGCAUCUGUCACAUAAACAGCUUAGAAUGUAAGAUUAGCCCUUGGGGAUGCCCCUCCAUAUUGCUGGUUAUAAAACCCUAUUUCUAACCGUUACCUAUGUCUUUUAUGAUCGCUUCUUAUGAACCUAUGUUGCUACGUGGCAGGCCUACUUUUUCCUAUUAUUAGAUUUAAUAGACAAACAAAAAAAAAAGUGGAAGGGAGAGGAGAGGAAAAGAGACUGAUUUUUCAAGGCAAUAAGGAGAGGAAAGAUUUGUUGGUAAAGGGAAGGGGAGAGGGUGAACAGAGAGGGAUAUGGAUAUAUACAGCGACCUGUACACGAUAAUGUGUCACUUGCUAUUACGAUACAUGAAUCGUCAAACCUUGCGUGGUCGCCCUUAACACCUUACACGACGGGGGCGGAGUCUGGAAACGAGACGGGCCAGACGCCAUUUCUGCGGGCUCCAACAUCCACGGACCUAAUCCGAUGGAAAUCAGCCCACAAACCUGUCAUCCAGCCACACGACCACCGGCAUAGUACGGGGGAGAUCCCCCGGAAUCGAUCGAUGCCCUUCAGGUACACCCCGAAGCAGGCAAAGCUUAAACUAAGAGCCCGGGCCUACCUCUCAUCAGCCCACCACGGCCUGGAUUACCUGUCAGGCGGGGACUUCCUAGAGGACGCGUGGGACACAUCUCGGCACAGCUCCGACCACGGAACCUCAGGGAUGGGGCGCAGAUCCCAGAAACCACCACAAGGUAUCGAUCAGCCUGAUAUAGGCAUAAUGCUUCAGAGGCAAACACCCGCCAAAAUGGCGGCCACACAAGGCCCUGACUCCCCAGCAGAGUCUGACUCAGGGGAGCAAAACACUCACGGGGUUCCAUGGCUACAACCAACACCCCAGCAGGGUACCACCGCACCAGCCACCAAACAGGACCUACAGGAUAUGCAAAACAUGCUGCAGGAAAUACAAAGCCUACUAGCUGCAGAUCUACCUACCCUUAAAACCAGCAUGCAACAAAUCACUGAAAAGGUAGUACACACUGAGAGAGAAGUGCAAGGGAUUCAAAGUGAAAUCACCUCGCUGCAAGACUCCCUCUUACAACUACAACACAAUCAACAAAACUUAGAGGUACAACUAGCAGCCCAAGAAGACAAACACAGACGCAACAACAUUAAAAUCCCAGGUAUCCCUGGCACAGUCUCCAAAGAGGACCUACCUCACUACGUGAGACGGCUCACGCAAGCUAUACUUCCCCCUGCGGUGGCAAGGAAACUCACCUUUGCCGGAAUAUACCGACUACCCACCCCGACAAGAGCAUCUACUCCCCUUGCAGGAGAC